rnacentral:misc_RNA from 1 species
UUUCCGUAGGUGAACCUGCGGAAGGAUCAUUAUUGAAUAAACUUGGUUGGGUUGCUGCUGGCUCUCCGGAGCAUGUGCACACUUACUCCAUUUUUAACCACCUGUGCACAUACUGUAGGCCUGAAUGAACUUUGUCGAGGAAACUCGGUUUGAGAACUGCUCAGCUGUUCUUGUAUUUCAGGUCUAUGUUUUUAAGCAUAUACUCCAUAACAAGUUAUAGAAUGUUAAUUAUGGGCCUUCUGUGCCUUUAAAACCUAAUACAACUUUCAACAACGGAUCUCUUGGCUCUC